CUAAGAAUAUUCCGCAAUGGACGAAAGUCUGACGGAGCGACGCCGCGUGGAUGACGAAGGCCGAAAGGUUGUAAAGUCCUUUUGUUGGGGAAGAAUAACCAUGGGAGGGAAUGCCCGUGGGAUGACAUGAACCGACGAAUAAGCCCCGGCUAACUACGUGCCAGCAGCCGCGGUAACACGUAGGGGGCGAGCGUUGUUCGGAAUUACUGGGCGUAAAGGGCAUGUAGGCGGCUUUGUAAGCCCGGCGUGGAAGCCCACGGCUCAACCGUGGGAUUGCGUUGGGAACUGCGAGGCUUGAAUCAUGGAGAGGGAGCUAGAAUUCCUGGUGUAGGGGUGAAAUCUGUAGAGAUCAGGAAGAAUACCAGUGGCGAAGGCGAGCUCCUGGCCAAUGAUUGACGCUGAGGUGCGAAAGUGUGGGGAUCAAACAGG
rnacentral:rRNA from 1 species